rnacentral:rRNA from 1 species
AGUGAACGCUGGCGGUAGGCCUAACACAUGCAAGUCGAACGGCAGCACAGUAAGAGCUUGCUCUUACGGGUGGCGAGUGGCGGACGGGUGAGGAAUACAUCGGAAUCUACUUUUUCGUGGGGGAUAACGUAGGGAAACUUACGCUAAUACCGCAUACGCCCUACGGGUGAAAGCGGGGGAUCUUCGGACCUUGCGCGAUUGAAUGAGCCGAUGUCGGAUUAGCUAGUUGGCGGGGUAAAGGCCCACCAAGGCGACGAUCCGUAGCUGGUCUGAGAGGAUGAUCAGCCACACUGGAACUGAGACACGGUCCAGACUCCUACGGGAGGCAGCAGUGGGGAAUAUUGGACAAUGGGCGCAAGCCUGAUCCAGCCAUACCGCGUGGGUGAAGAAGGCCUUCGGGUUGUAAAGCCCUUUUGUUGGGAAAGAAAAGCAGCAGGUUAAUACCCCGCUGUUCUGACGGUACCCAAAGAAUAAGCACCGGCUAACUUCGUGC